UAUUUCUCAAGUCCAGAAAUUCUGUCUUACUUUCUCUAAACAACUUUGCGUGCACAAUUAACUGCUAGCAUUGUGGCUAAUUGUGACUAAUUGCAAGAUAGGCUAAUUGUGACCCAAAGGAGCCGUUUUCUCCCCUGUAAAGAACAAGCUGCCUACUUCAUAUGCAAAUAGCAGAGGAGAUCCAUAAAUUACUUGUGCUCACACAACUGCACAUAUACAUAGACCAAGGUAAUUUACUCUCCCCAGCUAAAGCAUCUUGAUCAUUCACACUAUGAAGAUGUAAUGAGGAGACAUCACCAAGUACUCAGCGAGAUCUCCCACCCAGGAUUACUCUCAGCAAGAUAUGUAGAAGGCACUGCAUUCAAGGUUCAGAUUGUUGAACCCAGAAUUUAGUCCUGGAGUUCAAGGUUCUGCAACUAAAUCCUCUGAGGACAUCCAAGGAUAACCAGGAAAUCGGAAACUUACGCUGGUAAUAGCCUACUAUUCAACCUCUAAAGAGACAGACUUCCAAGCCAAGGUGCUAAUUUGGUAUCAGACUACAGGCGAUCCAACUGGUCAAGAGCCAGUGCUGGGGUGUGGCCUCCGAGCGCUACAUUAAUACAGAGGAAACCCUUCAACCUGAAUAUUAUUUGGUAAGCAAGUAACAAGAGCACAGGAAGUUAGAAUUUGCUCACAGUAUCGGGACCCAAGAACCUUCUCUUUUCCCUCUGGAGGUUCAAGAUUUGAGUCUGAGAAAUAAAUGGGCAGAAGACACAAGAAGACACACAUGUUUCCUACAUGUGCGGGGGCACUGCAGGAAGUAUCUCCUAGUAUGCACAGCAGGAAUGAACAAGCUUUUUAAAAGGUAAUCUUCAUACACAUAAAGCAGGUGUCGUGUGGGCAAUGAAGACGCGAGCCCAAGGAGCCCCAGAGCCACUUCGCCACCUGCACAAACUGAGACGAGUGUGGAUUCUGCUGUUAUCUCACUCUACCUCACAGUUUCCAUUUGACAGCAGGUGGAACAUAUUUUGAAGACAAAUGAAAUGACUGAGAGAGUGUUGGGAGCGGCUGAAGCUGGAAAUUGGUCAUAUAUGUGAGGGCAGGACAGAGCCAGAGUGCCUGAAGCAGUCAAGCUCCCUCAGUCUUGAGGAAAGCAUCCUGCCUGGACAAUUUCAGUCAUCAGUCGCUAGGCAACCUUGUGUCUCAUGAUACUAACUUUGCAAGAGUAUAAAUAAACGUUCCUACUAUUGUCAUUAGGUCCUCUCACCCAUCCAGUAAAGAGGCCUCCACCUGACCCAGCUCUUGUCUCUUGUCUAUCUUUUCCUCAUUCCUG
rnacentral:lncRNA from 1 species